GGCGGAGUGGAGCAGUGGUAGCUUGUCGGGUUCAUGCCCCUUGAGGUCACAGGUUCAAAUCCUGUCUCCGCAA
rnacentral:tRNA from 1 species